rnacentral:rRNA from 1 species
CCUACGGGUGGCUGCAGUGGGGAAUAUUGCACAAUGGGGGAAACCCUGAUGCAGCAACGCCGCGUGAGCGAUGAAGGCCUUCGGGUCGUAAAGCUCUGUCGUAAGGGAAGAAUACUGACGGUACCUUAGGAGGACGCCCCGGCUAACUACGUGCCAGCAGCCGCGGUAAUACGUAGGGGGCUAGCGUUAUGCGGAAUUACUGGGCGUAAAGGGUGCGUAGGCGGCCCUUAUAGUCAGAGGUGAAAGGCUACGGCUCAACCGUAGUAAGCCUUUGAAACUGUAGUGCUUGAGGGGAGGAGAGGGGAGUUUGACUCGCAGUGUAUUGGUGAAAUGGGUAGGUAUAGGGAGGAACACGAGUUGCGAGGGCUGCUCUCUGGUCUGUAACUGACGCUUUGGCACGAAGGCGUGGGGAGCGAAGAGGAUUAGAUACCCUCUUAGUC